GAUGAAGAACGUAGCGAAAUGCGAUAAGUAGUGUGAAUUGCAGAAUUCAGUGAAUCAUCGAAUCUUUGAACGCACAUUGCGCCCUUUGGUAUUCCUUAGGGCAUGCCUGUUCGAGCGUCAUUUAAACCUUCAAGCUAAGCUUGGUGUUGGGUGACUGUCCGCUUCACGGCGGACUCGCCUCAAAAUUAUUGGCGGCCGGUACAUUGGCUUCGAGCGCAGCAGAAACGCGAACUCGGGCCCGUCGUAUUGGCUCCCAGAAGCUAUCUUCACAAUUUUGGCCUCGGAUCAGGUAGGGAUACCCGCUGAACUGAAGCAUAUCAAUAAGCGGAGGA
rnacentral:misc_RNA from 1 species